rnacentral:rRNA from 1 species
GGACUACACGGGUUUCUAAUCCUGUUUGCUCCCCUUGCUCUCGCGCAUCAGCGUCUGGAAUAAACUAGAAAAUCGCUUUCGCCACCGGUGUUCCUCCAAAUAUCCACGCAUUUCACCGCUACACUUGGAAUUCCGUUUUCUCCGUCAAUCCACUAGACUUGCAGUUUCGAAUGCAGCUCCGAGGGUGAGCCCCGGAAUUUCACAUCCGACUUACAAAUCCGCCUACGCGCCCUUUACGCCCAAUAAAUCCGAUUAAUGCUUGCACCCUCCGUAUUACCGCGGCUGCUGGCAC